UUUGAUUUUUCUUUUAUUACUUUCCGCCUGUUUCUGGCUGCCUGGGUCACCAUGAAGUGACCGCCCUUUUUCUUCAUAACUUCUUCCUCACGCAAAAAAAAAAACGGAACUAUCGUAACUUUGUACCAACCAGCAGCACCGCACACAACAUUCCGCUAUAUGGAGUUAGCCGUUAUUUUCACGCCUUUCCUUUGCUGCUGCUGAUCCGUUGGGUAUUUCCAAUUAUUGGAACGAACGAUUUGAUCUUUCGUCUUUUUUUUCCCUUUCAAGUUAGUUGUUUUCCUCCUUUGUGUGUAAAUAACAAUAGUUAAAGCAUUUUUUUAAUUUUUAUUAAAUUUUUGUCUGGCUCCAAUCGAUAAUUAGGUUAAAGUUAAGAUUUAAAUAUUCAAUUUCCUUAAUUAGCAAUAAAAGAAGAUUAGCGCUUCGAUAAUUGUAAAAGAAAAGUAAUAUACUUUCUGCUAUACGAUUAUAACGAUCUUGCAUCUCUUUUGCACACAAGCCUGUGAAGAGAGACGAACACGGUUUUUUUUCUUCUUGUUUCCAAAGAGAUUGUGGGGAAUGGGGAGAAAAAUGCAAACACGAAAAAACACAAAUCAGUUGGUGAGGUGGAUGAGCGAUUGAUCGGGUUGGUUGGUUGGUGGAAUGGGCACUCGCAACAACCGAGCGAACGUAAUGGAACUUUCUUUUUUUAUUGGGGGAAGUGGGAAGCAAAAAAAUGUAAAGUGAAGGAGAGUAAAUCAAACAAGAGGAAAUUGAUUUUAGUUGUUUUUCCGUUUUUUGAAAUUACUUCACUUUUAUUCUUCUCUUUUUUGCUGAGCUGGCAGUGGUUACUAAUUUUGCGACUUUUCUCUUGCUAUUGUUCGACUUUUUAGUUGUUUGUAGGAUUUUUUGUUUGCUGCGCUGGCUUUUUGUUGGUGUUACUGCUGCUGCGUUUCUUUACAAUUUCUGCUGUUGUUUUCGCUUGAUGAUGAUGUGACUUCUCCCUGAUCGAUA